UUGAAGUCGGAAUCGCUAGUAAUCGCAGAUCAGCAUGUUGCGGUGAAUACGUUCCCGGGUCUUGUACACACCGCCCGUCAAACCAUGAGAGUCACCAACACCCGAAGUCCGCCUUGGCGGCCUAAGGUGGGGGAGAUGAUUGGGGUUAAGUCGUAACAAGGUAUC
rnacentral:rRNA from 1 species